UUAGGUGUUGACGUGGAGAGAAACAAAUAUAUCUUCUAUCUUUCCUCCCCUCGAGCGAUCACGCCGUCACGCAAAUAACGGAACAGGUGACCGGUCGGCGCACCACGGCGGACGAUCGACGUUGUAUCCCAUCCUCCAGCUGCCUAGCAUCCAUGAUGAUCUGACCAGCCGCUGCUCUCAGUCCUAACUCAAGGUAUCAUGCGAACAUGUGGGGUUAGCUAGAGAAAAAAUCAUCCUUCUAGGCUGUUUUAUUUCUUUGUAAGAUGUUGUUGCAAAGUGGAGAAUUCAGUUUUUUUUAAUUAUUCUUUGUCCCUAUCAUGAAAUUAUAGUAUUCAUCAAUGUGCGAAGGCGCUAUUAGGCGGAUAACAAAGACUUAGACCAACCACACAAGAGGGGAGACGGCCGACGUUGCGUCUUUGUGUGGACGCCGCUAUCA
rnacentral:lncRNA from 1 species